rnacentral:rRNA from 1 species
CCUACGGGAGGCUGCAGUGAGGAAUAUUGGUCAAUGGACGAGAGUCUGAACCAGCCAAGUAGCGUGAAGGAUGACUGCCCUAUGGGUUGUAAACUUCUUUUAUAUGGGAAUAAAAUGUUCCACGUGUGGGAUUUUGUAUGUACCAUAUGAAUAAGGAUCGGCUAACUCCGUGCCAGCAGCCGCGGUAAUACGGAGGAUCCGAGCGUUAUCCGGAUUUAUUGGGUUUAAAGGAAGCGUAGGUGGAUUGUUAAGUCAGUUGUGAAAUUUUGCGGCUCAACCGUAAAAGUGCAGUUGAAACUGGCAGUCUUGAGUACAGUAGAGGUGGGCGGAAUGCGUGGUGUAGCGGUGAAAUGCGUAGAUAUCACGAAGAACUCCGAUUGCGAAGGCAGCUCACUGGACUGCAACUGACACUGAGGCUCGAAAGUGUGGGUAUCAAACAGGAUUAGAUACCCCAGUAGUC